CAGUAGCGUAUAUAAAAGUUGUUGCAGUUGAAAAGCUCGUAGUUGGAUUUCUGGCUUGGAACGGCUGGUCCGCCGUAUAUGCGGUGCGUACCGGUUCGAUCCAGCCAUUCUUCCAAGGACCUCUCCUGCCCUUCAUUGGGUCGGGUGUAGGCACUUGGAUCGAUUACUUUGAAAAAAUUAGAGUGUUCAAAGCAGGCGUUUGUCUUGAAUACAUUAGCAUGGAAUAAUGACAUAGGACUUUGGUUCUAUUUUGUUGGUUUCUAGGACUGAAGUAAUGAUUGAUAGGGAUAGUUGGGGGUGCUAGUAUUGUGCGGCCAGAGGUGAAAUUCUUGGAUUCGCGCAAGACUAACUAAUGCGAAAGCAUUCACCAAGGAUGUCUUCUUUAA
rnacentral:rRNA from 1 species